rfam:Schistosoma mattheei strain Denwood, Zambia genome assembly, scaffold: SMTD_scaffold0003560
AUUCAGCUGAUGAGUCCCAAACAGAAUGAAACGCUCAUCCUGGAU